rnacentral:rRNA from 1 species
GAUGAACGCUAGCGGGAGGCCUAACACAUGCAAGCCGAGCGGUAUUGUUUCUUCGGAAAUGAGAGAGCGGCGUACGAGUGCGGAACACGUGUGCAACCUGCCUUUAUCUGGGGGAUAGCCUUUCGAAGGGAAGAUUAAUACUCCAUAAUAUAUUGAUUGGCAUCAAUUAAUAUUGAAAGCUCCGGCGGAUAGAGAUGGGCACGCGCAAGAUUAGCUAGUUGGUGAGGUAACGGCUCACCAAGGCGAUGAUCUUUAGGGGGCCUGAGAGGGUGAUCCCCCACACUGGUACUGAGACACGGACCAGACUCCUACGGGAGGCAGCAGUGAGGAAUAUUGGUCAAUGGGUGCAAGCCUGAACCAGCCAUCCCGCGUGAAGGACGACUGCCCUAUGGGUUGUAAACUUCUUUUGUAUAGGGAUAAACCUACCCUCGUGAGGGUAGCUGAAGGUACUAUACGAAUAAGCACCGGCUAACUCCGUGCCAGCCGCCGCCGUAAUAC